rnacentral:rRNA from 1 species
UACGGGGGGGGCAAGCGUUGUUCGGAAUUACUGGGCGUAAAGGGCUCGUAGGCGGCCAACUAAGUCAGACGUGAAAUCCCUCGGCUUAACCGGGGAACUGCGUCUGAUACUGGAUGGCUUGAGGUUGGGAGAGGGAUGCGGAAUUCCGGGUGUAGCGGUGGAAUGCGUAGAGAUCCGGAAGAACACCGGUGGCGAAGGCGGUCUGCUGGGCAGUUGCUGACGCUGAUGCGCGACAGCGUGGGGAGCAAACAGG